rnacentral:rRNA from 1 species
CAAGCCUGAUGCAGCCAUGCCGCGUGUAUGGAAGAAGGCCUUCGGGUUGUAAAGUACUUUCAGCAGUGAGGAAGUGGGUAUGUUAAUAGCAUACUUCAUUUGACGUUAGCUGCAGAAGAAGCACCGGCUAACUCCGUGCCAGCAGCCGCGGUAAUACGGAGGGUGCGAGCGUUAAUCGGAAUUACUGGGCGUAAAGCGCAUGCAGGUGGUUUGUUAAGUCAGAUGUGAAAGCCCGGGGCUCAACCUCGGAAUUGCAUUUGAAACUGGCAAACUAGAGUACUGUAGAGGGGGUAGAAUUUCAGGUGUAGCGGUGAAAUGCGUAGAGAUCUGAAGGAAUACCGGUGGCGAAGGCGGCCCCCUGGACAGAUACUGACACUCAGAUGCGAAAGCGUGGGGAGCAAACAGGAUUAGAUACCCUGGUAG